rnacentral:rRNA from 1 species
GACGAACGCUGGCGGCGUGCUUAACACAUGCAAGUCGAACGGAAAGGCCCUGCUUUUGGGGGGUGCGCGGGGGGCGAACGGGGGAGUAACACUUGAGUAACGUGCCCUGGCCGGUGGGAUAACUUCAGGAAACUGGGGCUAAUACCGGAUAGGAGCUACUGCUUCAUGGUGGGGGUGGGUAAGUUUCGGCGGUUGGGGAUGGAAUGGCGGCUUAUCGGCUUGAUGGUGGGGUAGUGUCUGACCAAGGCUAUGACGCGUGGGCGGCCUGAGAGGGUGACCGGCCCAGUUGGGACUGAGAUGCGGCCCGGACCCCUAUGGGACGCAGGGGUGGGGAAUAUAACACAGGGGGCGGAGGCCUGAUGUAGCAAAGCAGCGUGCGGGAUGACGGCAUUGGCGUUGUAAACCGAUUCCGCCUGUGCCGAGGAGUGAGUGACGGUACCGGGUAAAGAAGCACCGGCUAACUACGUG